AUGUUGUCAAGCUGGCCGGGCUCCAGGAACACUGAGAGGUGCCAGCCGGAGCCAAAACAAGCUCAGGCUGACCUGAUGGCAGGGAACCAGACACAGGCAGUGCAGAGCCUGCAUCAGACGGACACUCCCCUGGGCCCCAGACCGAGAGCAGGAACUGAAACACAGACUCAGUCAAACACACAAACAUGGAAGGUCUGCAAACAGCCACAGGGGAGGUGCUGGUGUUGGGGCUCCGCCGGCACCAGGAGGCUCCCAGUCCUGACCCAGCAUGCCCUCUGCUUCCCGGGGCCGCAAGACUCUGCCUUCCCUGUGCCUGUGCGUUGCUGGAAGUGGUUCAAGGAUAUGUGCGCCGGGCAAGGAGACACUCUGUCAGUACCAUCUCCCUUGAUCCUGGAAGGAGGAGACAGCCCUGACGAUGAGAAGAAAUCGAAGCUUUCAGAGGGCAAAUGACUUGCUCCCACGUUGGAUACUUAGUAGGCGAGAUGAGCUCUGAUUCUAAAGCCUGCACUCUUAACUGAUCCAAGACGUGGAGGUGGAGGUGGGAACCUGUGCUUGUCUGACUCACAUGCUGAAGGUACCGGAGAUCCCAUUUCAGAACCAGGGUGGGGAACCGGAAGUUAAAAAGCUUAUGCUGAAUUCCAUGGAGCUAGACCAGUGAACUAUUCCUGGCCAGUGGCAGAAAGGAAGCUGGGACCAUCUAGGCUGGGCCCCUGGGCUCGUGGGGUGAUCAGUCAGCUGGCAAAGAGGCCUCAGGGCUGUGUGGGGUUUCCCUCCUGUUCCUCAGGGCCCUGCUCAGGGAAGGCUUCCCCUUCCCCGGGAACCCUUUGGAGUGUUGUGCUGAUGCCGGCGAGGGUGUUCUGCAGGGCUACAGAACUCAGCAGGAACGGCCCUGGGCGGCUCCUGUGUGAGCACGUCUGAGUGAGAUGCAGGCAUGGCACCUACCCUGGUUAGCAGGAGCUCCUCGCUGCACCAAGAUCCC
rnacentral:lncRNA from 1 species